AGUGGUCGAUCGUUUUUAAAACACGGGAGAGGGGAAUACGGUAUGCGGAUGUGUCGUACGCCGCGCCGGUGACGGAGCCCGCAGGCGGCGCCGUGACGGGAGAUUCCCUGAGCCGUGGCUCGGGAAGGCGUUGUACUGCUGAUCCGUGGCUCCGGAAGUGGGACUUCCGCUGGCAGUGGUGGGCAGGCUAGUAAAUGAGGAAUCAGAUCGUCGUCGUGCUGUCCCCCACCUCUGGCCACUCUUUUUUGGAUCGCCAUUGACGCAUCCGGAGGUCGGCGGUGGAUGAAAUACACGGCAGUGCUUGUGGGGAUGGUGUUCCUGAUGCAACCCAUUAUGAGGGCCGCCGUGGUGGAAGAGGUCAACGGCAACCAGCUUCCAAUGGAGCCGCUCCACUAUCCCGCGGUGGCGGCAGGGGCUGAAGAGCUACCCCCCAUGGCGACAGGAAGAUCUGUGUGGCGGAUGGGGCACUCGCAGCCGGGAGGGAUGAUGAACCGCAAGCAUCUAAGCAAUCUAUUGAUCAGAAUGAUCAGAAUGAUAUCGCAGAUUUUGUGGUAGGCUUGUGUGCUUUCCUCAUCGCAGGUGUUUUAGAUAGUAGCACGAACGCAUGGUUAAAACAGAGAGCAUGCCAAUGUCAGUCUGCUUUUAUGGAUAGUGCGUACUGAUGCGAGGGAAUAGAUAUCAACACUGAGCCGGAAAAUGUAUAUUUGGAUACAUAAAUCAUCGAACAAGGAAAUGUAGGGUGGGAUAAAAGCGAGAUUGUUCGAUAUGCUGAACAUAGGGUGAUCAGGCAUGCUAAGAUAUUUCAUGUACAGAUUGUGGGAAAGAUAUGAGAGGCAAAAUACAAAUUAGAAUUGGUGUACAUAUUAUGUUCAUAACCAUAGAUGGAGGUACUAGGAGCAUGUGUGUUUAAAAGAAAAGCGUGCUAGGCUUGGUUUGUUUUGAGGAUAACUUUAGUGAGUAUAUUCCAGAAUUAGGUUGGGAAGCUUUCUGAGAUGCAGCUUGAGUUGACCACAAAUUCUAUGGGUCGUGGCUGGUGAAAAUUGGAAAGUAACUGACAUCCAAAAUGUCGAAAACCCUGAAUGUAGACACAAGAAGGACACCCAUCUGCUUCAUUUCCAGUAGAAAUACAUGCUGUCACAUAUUAAUCUAUCAAAAUGCAGGGUUAGAAUUGGAGUUCCUACUCCAGUAAGGGCGCCUUGCCCUGGGUGACCCAGCGCCCUUGAGAAGGCAAUACGGGGGUUCGCUGACAAACCGGGCAGCAUUGUAAUCGUGCCAGCCCUGGGUACGAGCUUCGAUACACUCGGGGUGGCCUAUGUGAAUGCCCCACCUGGAUUUCAAUCUCUACUUGUGGGAGAAGGGAUUUGGAAUACGGUACGGAAUAGUUGGUUGAAUGUGGAGAGAAAAAAAUGCAUGCAGGAAAUUGUUUGUGGAUCUGCGGGAAAAGCCGGAUUGGAAAACACUGGAUCAUGCCGGUGUGAAUGCCCCACAUUAAUAAGGCUGCUCCGAUCAAAUGACAAUGGUUGGUACAUAGCUGAGCAUCGUGAAGAACACAACCAUUCUCUGUCACCCACAUAUGGGCAGAAAAUACACUGGCCGGCCCACAAGCACAUAGAUGUCUACAACAGAGAUUUGGUGGAGCAGUUGCGACAAAAAAAUGUGAAUCUAGCCAAAGUACACAACAUCAUCGGAAGCUUUUUUGGUUCAAUGGAGAAGGUGCCUUUCACAAAAAGGGCUCUGAAGAAUUUGUGUGGUAAAAUCAGCAGAGAGCGGGCGGAGGAUGAUGUGAGGAAGACUAUGGAGGUUUUCGCAGAUUUGGGUUCAAGAGAUCCACAUUUCACUUAUCAUGUCCAGGCUGAGAAAGAUGGUCGGAUAACGACUCUUAUGUGGGCAAAUGGAAGCGGCAUGUUGCAAACACAUUCUUCGGAGACGUUGUCACCUUCGAUAGGACAUAUAGAACCAACCUGUACAACAUGCCAUUUGGUCUGUUUGUAGGUGUGAAUAAUCAAAUCAUUUCUAGAACAUCAUCCUGAAGGGGGUUUUGGUCCAUGAUGAAAACGAUCGAGGCAUUUUGAGUGGGUUUUCACAGAAUUCAUUAGGAUGAUAUGUGUGUUGGGGGGGGG